rnacentral:rRNA from 1 species
GAUGAACGCUGGCGGCGUGCUUAACACAUGCCAGUCGAACGGAAAGGCCCAAGCUUGCUUGGGUACUCGAGUGGCGAACCGGUGAGUAACACGUGGGUGAUCUGCCCUGCACUUCGGGAUAAGCCUGGGAAACUGGGUCUAAUACCGGAUAGGACGAUGGUUUGGAUGCCAUUGUGGAAAGUUUUUUCGGUGUGGGAUGAGCUCGCGGCCUAUCAGCUUGUUGGUGGGGUAAUGGCCUACCAAGGCGUCGACGGGUAGCCGGCCUGAGAGGGUGUACGGCCACAUUUGGACUGAGAUACGGCCCAGACUCCUACGGGAGGCAGCAGUGGGGAAUAUUGCACAAUGGGCGCAAGCCUGAUGCAGCGACGCCGCGUGGGGGAUGACGGCCUUCGGGUUGUAAACUCCUUUCGCUAGGGACGAAGCGUUUUUGUGACGGUACCUGGAGAAGAAGCACCGGCUAACUACGUG